rnacentral:lncRNA from 1 species
AAUUUACAGACUGGCGUAGCUGUGCCUGAAAAUGGCUUGGGAACGGCGUAGCUGCGCCCAAGCUCUACCCUCAUUUUAAUAGACCAACGCAGCUGCGUUGGUCUCAGGCCUUAAAGUGGCGCAGCUGCGCCACUUCGUCUUUAGCCCAGAAUCAGCUCCGCUCUUACAUAACCUAUCCAAUUCAAUCCAAAAUGAAUUCUAGAUACUUUCUUAUGGUAUUUAAUCAUCAGAAACAUAGUUUUCAACUUCAAUUACAUAAUAUAAUCCAAGCCCAAGCAAUGAAUCAAAAUCCUAUGUUUUUGAAAAACUUUUACUGUGAAAACUAAAUUCUUCAAUCAUGU